CAAUAGGACUCGUUGGAGAGAAAAUCUCCUAAAUAAACUAAAAAACUUGUACCUGAAAAACUUUCUUCGAUCGUCACCUUCACCUGCAGAAAUCAUUGCCGGAUAUAGUCCCGUCACCGGACUUGACAGACUCAAUUGCUCUCAUCUCUAUCCUUCCCGACAAAGCCCUAAUUUAACUAGAAGGUUCAUCUCCUCUGCAUCUCAUCUACGUCACCUAAAGAAACGGUACCUCUAGCAUCUACUAUGAUCUAGUUUACGGCGGUGAUUUUGAUUUUAGAAGAAAACAACGAUCGAUUUUAGAAGUGCCGUCUCGAAUCCAGUUUCCGUUGUUAUCCAACGCCGAUCAUCGAAGUGGCACGACGGUAAAUUCGUUUAAAUAUAAGCCAAGCUUGAGGGGUGAGUUUCUCGUCUACGGUUAACCCAUGAGAACUCAGUUGAAUAGAGGACGAGUUGGACCGCUUUUUACUCUACCGAGUUAAGAAUUGAGUUAAUUCGACGGCUGACACCGACUGGAAUCGCCAGUUUCAGUCCUGCAGUUUCGCCUUCCGAAAAUUGGACUUAUUAUGCAAGAGAAGAUAUGGUGGUGGCUUAUUCUUGCGUCUUAGGAUCACUGACAAAAAGGUGUCCGAAACAUUUACUUCCCAUUUGACGUUGAGACAGACACGGCACUGAGCUUUGAAACAGAGAUGUAGAUCAUGGUCUAUUCAUUUUGUAGAAACCAGAUCGCAUUAUAUUUGUUAUGGACAGCAGUAUUGGUCAAGUUGCAUUUGAUCAAGCUCAAGCAUUUAAGCAAAGUGUUGUUGUGGGACCUGUAAUUAUCACUAAGAUGGACGGUCAUGCCAAGGGUGGUGGUGCUCUUAGCGCAUAAGAAUCACUCAGCUACUGAUUCUCGUUCUAUGUAGUCAUAUUCAAAAUCUUUGUAUAUGCCUUUGUGUUUGUGAGAAGAAUUUGUUACUUUGGAUUACAUGGAUCUUAUCCACUUUGAGCAUAUAUUAUCUCUAUGAGGUAAAAACGGUUUUGAAUGCCUCAUUUUAGACUCA